GGGCCGGUAGCUCAGCCUGGAAGAGUGCUCGGCUCGCAACCUAGGGCAAGAAACCGAGAGGUCCCGGGUUCAAAUCCCGGCCGGUCCA
rnacentral:tRNA from 1 species